rnacentral:lncRNA from 1 species
AUUGACAUUUAUAUAUCAUUUACUUGUUUUUUUUGUUAAUGUUAAUAUAAAGCAAUAAUUUAAUGUAAAAUAACAAAUUAUUUUUCAUCUUUUGAAAAAAUGUUAAAUAAAAUUUUCUCAUUAUUUUGAAAUCACGACUUACUAUUAAAAUAUUAUCUUUGUCACACCCCAUUUAAAUACCCUCCUUAGUGGGGUACAUGUGUCGCCGUCCGGUUCUCCCNUGGUGAGUGGGAGACAAACUCUGCCAACCUUUUAAUUCCCUUCCCUCGUGAUCCGUGCAGCAGCAGCAGAGCAGUGAACCCCAGCAAGUGGAAGUCAGGUGUCACGCUGGGAGUUGGCCAACCGUUCGGAUUGGAGGCAGUAUUUAAGGUAAGAAUGAAGACCUGACGCCACUUUUGCAUGCAAUCUUCUUCUUCUUCCUCAAACUCAACCUUCUGAAAAUCUCAGAUUCUCCUCCUUCUCUCUAAACCUCCCUACCCUCUCUCUCUAAAAUUCUAACCCAUUUACUGUUCCGAUCACCCUUCAGAUCACACCUGAAGACUCCUGGUGGUCUCCUCUCUCUCUUGAACCGUCCGGUUUUGAGUUUUGCACC